CCUACGGGUGGCAGCAGUAGGGAAUUUUCCACAAUGGACGAAAGUCUGAUGGAGCAACGCCGCGUGAGUGAAGAAGGUUUUCGGCUCGUAAAGCUCUGUUGGUAGUGAAGAAAGAUAGAGGUAGUAACUGGCCUUUAUUUGACGUUAAUUAAUUGGAAAGUCACGGGUAACUACGUGCCCUCAGCCGCGGUAAUACGUAGGUGGCAAGCGUUGUCCGGAUUUAUUUGGGGUAAAGCGAGUGCAGGCGGUUCAUUAAGUCUGAUGUGAAAGCCUUCGGCUCAACCGGAGAAUUGCAUCAGAAACUGUUGAACUUGAGUGCAGAAGAGGAGAGUGGAACUCCAUGUGUAGCGGUGGAAUGCGUAGAUAUAGGGAAGAACACCAGUGGCGAAGGCGGCUCUCUGGUCUGCAACUGACGCUGAGGCUCGAAAGCAUGGGUAGCAAACAGGAUUAGAUACCCCUGUAGUC
rnacentral:rRNA from 1 species